rnacentral:rRNA from 1 species
GAUGAACGCUGGCGGCGUGCCUAACACAUGCAAGUCGAGCGAACGGACGAGAAGCUUGCUCCUCUGAUGUUAGCGGCGGACGGGAGAGUAACACGCGGACAACCUACCUAUAAGACUGGGAUAACUUCGGGAAACCGGAGCUAAUACCGGAUAAUAUUUUGAACAGCAUGGUUCAAAAGUGAAAGACGGUGUUGCUGUCACUUAUAGAUGGAUCCGCGCUGCAUUAGCUAGUUGGUAAGGUAACGGCUUACCAAGGCGACGAUGCAUAGCCGACCUGAGAGGGUGAUCGGCCACACUGGAACUGAGACACGGUCCAGACUCCUACGGGAGGCAGCAGUAGGGAAUCUUCCGCAAUGGGCGAAAGCCUGACGGAGCAACGCCGCGUGAGUGAUGAAGGUCUUCGGAUCGUAAAACGCUGUUAUUAGGGAAGAACAGAUGUGUAAGUAACUGUGCACAUCUUGACGGUACCGAAUCAAAAAGCCACGGCUAACUACGUG